rnacentral:rRNA from 1 species
CAACCUGGAACGGGGUCUAUACCGGAUACUGACUGCCAAGGCAUCUUGGCGGGUCGAAAGCUCCGGCGGUGCAGGAUGAGCGCGGCCUAUCAGCUUGUUGGUGAGGUAAUGGCUCACCAAGGCGACGACGGGUAGCCGGCUGAGAGGGCGACCGCCACACUGGGACUGAGACACGGCCCACUCCUACGGGAGGCAGCAGUGGGGAAUAUUGCACAAUGGGCGGAAAGCCUGAUGCAGCGACGCCGCGGUGAGGAUGACGGCCUUCGGGUUGUAAACCUCUUUCAGCAGGGAAGAAGCGAAAGUGACGGUACCUGCAGAAGAAGCGCCGGCUAACUACGUGCCAGCAGCCGCGGUAAUACGUAGGGCGCAAGCGUUGUCCGGAAUUAUUGGGCGUAAAGAGCCGUUAGGCGGCUUGUCGCGUCGGUUGUGAAAGCCCGGGCUUAACCCCGGGUCUGCAGUCGAUACGGCAGGCUAGAGUUCGGUAGGGGAGAUCGAGAAUUCCUGGUGUAGCUGGUGAAAUGCGCAGAUAUCAGGAGGAACACCGGUGGCGAAGGCGGAUCUCUGGGCGAUACUGACGCUGAGGAGCGAAAGCGUGGGGAGCGACAGGAUUACAUGCGCUGCUAGUCCGCUCCGUAACGUGGACUAGGUGUGGGCAACAUCACGUUGUCCGUGCGCUGCUACGCAUUAAGUGCCCCGCCU